rnacentral:rRNA from 1 species
UACGUAGGGACCAAGCGUUGUUCGGAUUUACUGGGCGUAAAGGGCGCGUAGGCGGCAAUUCAAGUCAUCUGUGAAAUCUCCGGGCUUAACUCGGAACGGUCAGAUGAUACUGCUUUGCUAGAGUACAGAAGGGGCAAUCGGAAUUCUUGGUGUAGCGGUGAAAUGCGCAGAUAUCAGGAGGAACACCGGUGGCGAAGGCGGGUCUCUGGGCCGAUACUGACGCUGAGGAGCGAAAGCGUGGGGAGCAAACAGG